UACAGAGGUCCCAAGCGUUGUUCGGAUUCACUGGGCGUAAAGGGUGGGUAGGUGGCGGGGUAAGUUCGAUGUGAAAGCUCCGAGCUCAACUCGGAAAUGGCAUUGAAUACUAUCCUGCUCGAGGGUCGGAGGGGAGACUGGAAUUCUCGGUGUAGCAGUGAAAUGCGUAGAUAUCGAGAGGAACACCAGUGGCGAAGGCGAGUCUCUGGACGACUCCUGACACUGAGGCACGAAAGCUAGGGGAG
rnacentral:rRNA from 1 species